GACGAACGCUGGCGGCGUGCUUAACACAUGCAAGUCGAACGGAAAGGCCCUGCUUGCAGGGUACUCGAGUGGCGAACGGGUGAGUAACACGUGGGUGAUCUGCCCUGCACUUCGGGAUAAGCCUGGGAAACUGGGUCUAAUACCGGAUAGGAGCCAUUUUUAGUGUGAUGGUUGGAAAGUUUUUUCGGUGUAGGAUGAGCUCGCGGCCUAUCAGCUUGUUGGUGGGGUAAUGGCCUACCAAGGCGGCGACGGGUAGCCGGCCUGCGAGGGUGGACGGCCACAAUGGGACUGAGGUACGGCCCAGACUCCUACGGGGGGCAGCAGGGGGGAAUAUUUGACAAUGGGCGCAAGCCUGAUGCAGCGACGCCGCGGGGGGGAAGACGGGCUUCGGGUUGUAAACUCGUUUCGCUAGGGACGGAGCUUUUUGUGACGGUACCUAGAUAAGAAGCACCGGCUAACUACGUG
rnacentral:rRNA from 1 species